rnacentral:misc_RNA from 1 species
AAAGUCGUAACAAGGUUUCCGUAGGUGAACUGCGGAAGGAUCAUUAAAAAUAUCACAGUUCUGUGAUUUUAAUAAUCAUCCUACCUUUGUGAAUUUGUUUUGUAAAAAAAUUAUGUUGUCUAUCCCUGUGGUUUUGGAAAAGUUGAAAACUUUUUCGAAUCCUCAGGACUAGGCUUCAUAGACCUUUUUUAAAUUAAACUUUUGUAUUCAUUGUCUAAAUUAUUUUUAAUAUUUAAAAACAACUUUUGACAAUGGAUCUCUUGUUCUCGCAACGAUGAAGAACGCAGCAAAAUGCGAUAAGUAAUGUGAAUUGCAGAAUACGUGAAUCAUAAAUCUUCGAACGCAUAUUGCACUUUUAGUUUACUAAAAAGUAUGUCUGUUUGAGUAUCAGUAAAUAUUCUCAUAAAACAUUUGUUUAUGGUUAUGAGUGUUUUACAACGAUAACAAGUUGCUUCACUUUAAAUUGAUUUUUAAAUAAGCCAAUUUGGUUUUAUUUAUAAAUGGAUAAAUUUUCCCGUAAAAAGGAAUAGACUUUUCAGUUUAAAAUAAAUCUUAAUUGACUUUUUAAAAGGAAAUUUAUUAAAUAACUGAUCUCAAUCAGAUAAGAUACCGCUGAACUUAAGCAUAUCAAUAAGCGGAGGAAAAGAACUAACAAGGAUUCCUUAGUAACGGCGAGUGAGCGGGAAGAGCUCAAAUUUGAAAUCUUCAAGGUUCUACCUUGAUGAAUUGUAGUUUAUAGAAGUGUUUUCUGUUAGUAGAAUGGCAAAAGUUCUUUGGAAUAGGACAUCGUAGAGGUGAGAAUCCGUAUUUGGUCAUUCUUCUAGCUUGUGAUACACUUUCAACGAGUCGGAUUGUUUGGGAAUGCAGUCCAAAAUGGGUGGUAAUUUCAUCUAAAGCUAAUAUUGGCGAGAGACCGAUAGCGAACAAGUACCGUGAGGGAAAGAUGAAAGAACUUUGAAAAGAGAGUUAAACAGUACGUGAGAUUGUCAAAAGGGAAGCGUUUGACACCAGUGUUGUUUUUCCGAAAAUCAAUUACGAAUGUUUUGUUUUUGAGAAGUUAUGACUUCAUCGGCUUGCUUCUUUCUUUACGAAACUUUUAAUGCACUUUCGGUUAACAAUCAACAUCAAUUUCUUUUGUUGUAAAAGGGUAGAGGAAGGUGGCUUCUUUCGGAGAAAGUGUUAUAGCCUUGUACUCUGCAAUCGGAGAGAUUGAGGUCUGCAGCGUGAUCCUUCGGGGUUAGAUACAUUUGUGCUAAGUUAUAGCUUUUCAUAGACAACUUGUUGACUAUGUUAGUCUUGUAGCUUACUCGCUUAUGCUAUUUUACCUACGCUUAGGAUGUUGAC